rnacentral:rRNA from 1 species
GAUGAACGCUAGCUACAGGCUUAACACAUGCAAGUCGAGGGGCAGCAUUGGAGUAGCAAUACUUCAGAUGGCGACCGGCGCACGGGUGAGUAACACGUAUCCAACCUGCCGCUUACUCGGGGAUAGCCUUUCGAAAGAAAGAUUAAUACCCGAUGGUAUAAAGAGUUCGCAUGUUCUCUUUAUUAAAGAAUUUCGGUAAGCGAUGGGGAUGCGUUCCAUUAGAUAGUUGGCGGGGUAACGGCCCACCAAGUCUACGAUGGAUAGGGGUUCUGAGAGGAAGGUCCCCCACAUUGGAACUGAGACACGGUCCAAACUCCUACGGGAGGCAGCAGUGAGGAAUAUUGGUCAAUGGACGCGAGUCUGAACCAGCCAAGUAGCGUGAAGGAUGACUGCCCUAUGGGUUGUAAACUUCUUUUAUAAGGGAAUAAAGUGAGGGACGUGUCCCUUUUUGUAUGUACCUUAUGAAUAAGGAUCGGCUAACUCCGUG